rnacentral:rRNA from 1 species
AGCGAACGCUGGCGGCAGGCCUAACACAUGCAAGUCGAGCGCCCCGCAAGGGGAGCGGCAGACGGGAGAGUAACACGUGGGAACAUGCCCUUCAGUACGGAACAACCAAGGGAAACUUUGGCUAAUGCCGUAUACGCCCGUAAGGGGAAAGAUUUAUCGCUGAAGGAUUGGCCCGCGUCUGAUUAGCUAGUUGGUGGGGUAAUGGCCCACCAAGGCGACGAUCAGUAGCUGGUCUGAGAGGAUGAUCAGCCUCACUGGGACUGAGACACGGCCCAGACUCCUACGGGAGGCAGCAGUGGGGAAUAUUGGACAAUGGGCGCAAGCCUGAUCCAGCCAUGCCGCGUGGAUGAUGAAGGCCUUAGGGUUGUAAAGUCCUUUUAACGGGGAAGAUAAUGACGGUACCCGUAGAAUAAGCCCCGGCUAACUUCGUGCCAGCCGCCGCAGUAACAC